CCAAUGUGAACGUUACCAAACUGUUGCCUCGGCGGGAUCUCUGCCCCGGGUGCGUCGCAGCCCCGGACCAAGGCGCCCGCCGGAGGACCAACCUAAAACUCUUAUUGUAUACCCCUCGCGGGUUUUUUUAUAAUCUGAGCCUUCUCGGCGCCUCUCGUAGGCGUUUCGAAAAUGAAUCAAAACUUUCAACAACGGAUCUCUUGGUUCUGGCAUCGAUGAAGAACGCAGCGAAAUGCGAUAAGUAAUGUGAAUUGCAGAAUUCAGUGAAUCAUCGAAUCUUUGAACGCACAUUGCGCCCGCCAGUAUUCUGGCGGGCAUGCCUGUCCGAGCGUCAUUUCAACCCUCGAACCCCUCCGGGGGGUCGGCGUUGGGGAUCGGCCUCCUCUCACGGGGGCCGUCUCCGAAAUACAGUGGCGGUCUCGCCGCAGCCUCUCCUGCGCAGUAGUUUGCACACUCGCAUCGGGAGCGCGGCGCGUCCACAGCCGUUAAACACCCCAAACUUCUGAAAUGUUGACCUCGGAUCAGGUAGGAAUACCCGCUGAACUUAAGCAUAUCAAUAAGCGGAGGAA
rnacentral:rRNA from 1 species